rnacentral:lncRNA from 1 species
AUCUUCACAAUUCAGACUUGCAAUGGAUGAGUCCACAGGAGGGAAUGACAGAGUGGAUGUGUGUGGUGGCCGGUGGUGUUGGGGGUGCUGGAGCUGGAGAUGAGGAGGCUGAAGAGGUUGGGAUGGGGAUGGGGAGGUGACAGACUGGACGGGAUGGAGUGGAGGUGACGGCAGUGGCAAGGUGUGGUGUGGCGAGAGGCACGCCUCCCACAACACGCAGCCCAGCCGAGAGGAACGGGCAGCAGGACUCAGCAAACUCACAGCCCAGAGACAGAGUCCCUAGAAAGCCCACUCAACCUUGCUAAAAACUGGGGGACUACUGAACUUCCCCACUUUGGCCUGGCUGGCGAGAGGCAGAGAUCAGGGCCCACCCUUUUCCUGUCUAGCACCUCAUAACCCUGAGGGUUGGUAACCCAGAGGGCCAGGCGCUCACCCUCCAUAUCCAGGCCUAUUAGGAGAUCUGAGCGGGUUUCAUCCCCAACAGGUACCUUCUCUGAGGCUCAAGCCCCCUGUGCAACCACUGCCUUCCCCAGAGGAGUGAGGAGCCCACAGAUGGGCCCAGGUCCAGCCCACGUCUACCCUGCCCUGCUGCCUGCUUCCUGCCCACGUCUGGGGAUUGGGAAGUGUGCAGAAAAAUCAACACCAAUCCGUUUCAUGGGACUUGACAACAGCACCUAGAGGAAUUCUUCAUCUCUAAGUUCAAAUGAGAAAACAGAGGCCAAGAGACAUUCAGGGAAUUACUCAAAGCCCAAGGUCACACCAGCUUGUGAGUGAAGUGGAAGGACUUGACAAGGUCCAUCUAACUCAUAGCCUGCCCACAGGAUGAGGCUGCCAGUCCUGCAGAUGCAGAGGCAGGGGAGAGGGAAAAGGCUGGGACCUGGGAGUGAGGGUUAUGUCGGAAGAAUCCGCACAAUGAUUCUCUCUCCAAGAGACCCUUUCAGGAGGUCCAUAAGGAGGUCUGCAAAGUCAAAACUGUUUUCAUAAUACUAAGAAAUUAUUUGCUUUAUACACUUUCUCUCAUGAACGUAGAGUUUUUCAGAGGCUACAUGACAUGUGCUAUCACAAUUGCCCUAAUGCAAAAGUAGCUAGGAAAUCCAGCUACCUUCUAUAUAAGUCCCAAAUUAAAGAGAUUUGUAAUAAGGGUAAACCAAUGUUGUCCCUCUUGGUAAAUAUUUUUGUUUUAAAAAAAUAACUAUUUUUCCUUAAAAAUGUUAUUUAUGCUAAUAUAUAAUAGGUUUUUAUUAUUUUAAAAUGCAUUAAUAAAUAUUUUAAAAUAAUCUCAGUCUUAAUAUCUAAUAUGGUAAACAUCAAUAGAAAUAACCCACACAAUGGCUGGGCACGGUGGCUCACCCCUGUAAUCCCAGCACUUUGGGAGGCUGAGGCGGGCGGAUCACCCGAGGUUCGGAGUUCAAGACCAGUCUGACCAACAUGGUGAAACCCUGUCUCUACUAAAAAUACAAAAUUACCCAGGCGUGGUGACUCAUGCUUGCAAUCCCAGCUACUCAGGAGUAUGAGGCAGGAGAAUUGCUUGAACCUGGGAGGCAGAGGUUGCGAUGAGCUGAGAUCGCGCCAUUGCACUCCAGCCUGGGUACCAAGAGCGAAACUCUGUCUCAAAAAAAAAAAAAAGAACCCACACAAACAAACCCUCUUUGAGGUUCUCUGAUAUUUACAAGUAGAGGUCCUGAGACCAAAAAGUUGACAUUGCUGAUCUCCUGUCAUCCACGCCAGGACUUGGUGGGGGUGGGAGCAGUGGAUAUGGUCCAGGGCUGGCAUCCCUCGCUCCUGGCCUCAGCUCUUCCAGAACCUAACCUAUUCUGAAAGAGUCUAACAGUAAUUUCCCCACCAAACAGAGAAUCUGCCUUUUCCAUUUCACAAGAUGGGUGUGGGGGACUGAAGGGGCCCAGAAGUCAGCAUCCUUAGGGGUGUAUUCGUGUCCAAGAGGUGCCAGGGAGCUCUGGGCCAAACGGAAAUUGUGAGCAUGCACUGGCAGUGUGCCCUCCUGGCAGGCCCCGCAGAUGGCAGAGCAGAGUGGGGUGGGGACAGGCUCUUCCAGCCAGAGCUGGGGCCAGCCAGCAGGGUGAGGGGCUGCAAGCCCUCUGCGUCCCACCCACGGGCCUCCUCCUGCAGCCAGAUGCUGCAUCUCUUCUUAAGACCCCCAGGUUUCGCCUCAGGAUGCUGGGGGUGGGGAAGAGACUGCUCUCUGGAUGAGCACAUGGACUUAGUGAGUUAGGCUGUCCUCUACGACAAAGGAUGGCAGCUCAUAUGUUCAGGCCACAGCAGGAGUGCGGGAAUCUCCUCAAGCCCUGUCCAGGCUCGGCACAGCCUGCAGGCCAACAGCUCCUCUCAGGACCCAGCAGGGGCUCUGAGCCCCUGCUCACAACUCCAUUUCCACUCUAUAAGCUUGUUCCUGUUCCUCCUGGGCCUACCCCGGUCUCAAGUUCCAAUUCUCCAGGAGGUGGUUUUGGCAGCACGUCACGUCACUACAGAGAAGAAAAGGCCUG